AGUGAACGCUGGCGGUAGGCCUAACACAUGCAAGUCGAACGGCAGCACAGUAAGAGCUUGCUCUUACGGGUGGCGAGUGGCGGACGGGUGAGGAAUACAUCGGAAUCUACUUUUUCGUGGGGGAUAACGUAGGGAAACUUACGCUAAUACCGCAUACGACCUACGGGUGAAAGCAGGGGAUCUUCGGACCUUGCGCGAUUGAAUGAGCCGAUGUCGGAUUAGCUAGUUGGCGGGGUAAAGGCCCACCAAGGCGACGAUCCGUAGCUGGUCUGAGAGGAUGAUCAGCCACACUGGAACUGAGACACGGUCCAGACUCCUACGGGAGGCAGCAGUGGGGAAUAUUGGACGAUGGGCGCAAGCCUGAUCCAGCCAUACAGCGUGGGUGAAGAAGGCCUUCGGGUUGUAAAGCCCUUUUGUUGGGAAGGAAAAGCAGCAGGUUAAUACCCCGCUGUUCUGACGGUACCCAAAGAAUAAGCACCGGCUAACUUCGUG
rnacentral:rRNA from 1 species